UACGUAGGGGGCGAGCGUUAUCCGGAUUUAUUGGGCGUAAAGCGUGUGUAGGCGGCUUGUUAAGUUUAAGAUAAAAGCCUGGGGCUCAACUCCAGUUCGUCUUAAAAACUGGCAGGCUUGAGUGCGGUAGAGGUAAAUGGAAUUUCUAGUGUAGCGGUGAAAUGCGUAGAUAUUAGAAGGAACACCAGAGGCGAAGGCGAUUUACUGGGCCGUAACUGACGCUGAGGCACGAAAGCGUAGGUAGCAAAUA
rnacentral:rRNA from 1 species